ACGCUCGACACCUACGGGGGGCAGCAGUGGGGAAUAUUGCACAAUGGGGGAAACCCUGAUGCAGCGACGCCGCGUGAGUGAAGAAGUAUUUCGGUAUGUAAAGCUCUAUCAGCAGGGAAGAAGAUGACGGUACCUGAGUAAGAAGCCCCGGCUAACUACGUGCCGGCAGCCGCGGUAAUCUGAGCGGGCUGGCAAGGC
rnacentral:rRNA from 1 species